AUCGUCUUCAUUCAUAUUAUACUAAAUUUUGUGAAGAAACAGAAAUUAAUCAAAGCACGCAGCCAUAUCAAAAUACAAAUAGUGAGCAGCCUAAUGAUAAUACAGAUGCUCCAUCUUCAAAGAGGAAAAAAAGAGAAGAAAAUGGUAUUUGCAGUGAUAUUAAUUCUUCCUAUCCAGAGUCUAUUGCAAGUAAUUGGAUACAAAUCUAUUCACCUACUUUGACUACAAAAUUAGUUUACUGUCUCAAAUAUUUAGUACCAACUGGAGAAUAUCAAGAGUUCUUAAGCCAUACCUACGGGAAAAAUGCACUCAACUUAGUAAUGAAAAUAAUUAAUUCUUCAGAAAAACA